rnacentral:lncRNA from 1 species
GGCGCCGAGUGUCUCCGUGUCCCUCUGCCCCAGCCGGCGGCCGCGAUGGUGGAGCUUGGCCUCUCGCUCUCUCCCGCCUCUCCAGCGACUGCUCUGCCGGCCGCGGAGGUCGGAUCGAGCGGUCAUUCAUUCAUUUGUUAAUUCGUUCACUUAUUCAGGGGAGAUCAUUGAACCCCUACGGAGUACCGGGUACUGGGCCGGGCGCUGAGGACGCGGGGCUGAGCAAAAGCAGCCGAGGCCCACCUUCGUGCCCCUUAAAACCCAGCGUGCGGGGCGGCAACGAGUACUGCUUUUCUGUUUUGCACUUAAAAUUUACAUUUUGCAUCCGUACUUUUUAUUUACUGUGCACCCUUACGGCAUGCUUUACGCACCCGUACCUGCACCUCCUAGCCUUGAGUGUAGACACCAGAUCCUGAGAUGGGCGAUUUUUCGAGAAUAAUUUUUACCCUAAGUGGAUUUUCGUGCCACGCAUGGACUUGGAACUACACACACGUAGUCCAAAACGUGAAAGUCAAAAUGCAGCUUUGCCAAGUGGCAGGGAGAAAGGAGAGCUGAGAAGAUGAGGAGAGGAAGGGCGCGCUCCAGGCUUUCCAGCCCGGGUGCGGUAGACGUAGCCCUGAAGGAUGAACCCAGGCUGGUAGUAGGGCGGCGGGAGGGCGGGGGGACCUGUCAGUCAAGUCCAAAGCAGAAACGCGGCGCCGGAUCCCAGUCAGAGGCCGGCUGGAACGCUUCCCACAGGCUCCUGGCGCUCCGGUCCCCACCAGGCGACCUUGAUCCUGGCGUGCUCAGCGGAGCCAGCGCAGCGUCGGGAGCUGGAGAGACGCGGGGCGCCGGCUGAGCGCUCCUGCCCUCUGCCUCUGGGCUAGCCUCUGGCCCGGCCUCCCGGCCUCCCCCAGGGUACGCUCUCCCCCAAGAGCGAACACCAGCUUUGGGAUCGCCAGCAGCCACGUCUCUGCUUCUAGAUCUCUUUUUUUUUUCUUUGAGACUUAGUUGAUAGCUGUUUAAGGAAUUAUGUGGAGGAAAUCUCACCUCCGACCCCCGCCCCCGUUGAGCACGGCCGGCCAGGGUCGCUGGGUGGGCCAGGAGGAAAGAAAGGGGCGGGGAAGAAGCAGCAAUUUUACUUUAAAUUAAAAUGACACAAAAAUAUUUUUUCAACUCAGAUCUUUCUGAGACAUCCCCAGAAAGCGUUGCAAGCUGUGAUUACACCUAAUGUGAGAGCAUGAACUAAUUUAAGAGGUGAGAGCUGCAUAAUGAGGCUGCCUCCCGUGUAGCAGCCAAGACUGGCAGCUCUGGCGGCGCGCUGGAGGGGACCGGGAGGGGCACCCUUGUAGAACCAGUCCCUGGCGCCCUGGGAUCUUCUCAGUGCCCUGGCGCUGUGUUGUCGGUCACUCCACAGAUAUUACAGGGUGCCUCCUGAAUGCCGGGUUGCAAUCAAGAGCAAGAGAUGGGGCGAGUGAAAGAGCCUGUUUUCAGGAGCUCAGCAUCAGGAUGACGAUUACCUAGAGGGAGGUGGUGGCCAGCCUCCCCCUCUUCUCUUCAUGCUGAGGCUCUGGUGGGCAGUGCCCAAGCCUGAACUGCCAUCUGUAUGCCAGUGGUUACCCAACUUGUAUUUUCAGUCUUAGCCUCUCUCUGGUCCAGACUUGUCAUUCUAAGGGCCCUUUUUCACUGACUCACAUUGUCUCCUCCCUCCCUGCCUUCCAAACUCAGCCUUUUCCUUUUUCCCUUUCCCACUGACAACAGCUGCACGACCCCCCCGCCCCCCCACGAGGUGAAAAUUCCCAAGAACCCCAUGUCUAACCUAACUCCCUCUCUAUGUCCUGUUGCUUGAGCCAUUCUCAUUAGGCUGCCUGUUCGGAGUUCAUUAUCUCCUAAUUUUUCAUCCAGGAAUUGAUGAAGAAUCACCUACUGCCUCUCCCACACACUGUUUAUUCUUUCAUUUGAUGAUAUCUGUUAAGUGCCCUGAGAUAUGUAACCUCCACUUCCCUCCCAUAUAAGUGAGAUUUCACGUUGAUUACUUCCUUGGCUUUCCUCAUCCCUUAUCCACAUAGCAUGUGUUCAAAAUAAUGAAUAUUAAUUUAAUGUUAAUAGAUAUGUGCUUUCCUGAAUUGUGAGGAUUAAAUGAAAUCAUGUAUAUAGGGAGGAAAAUCCAUUAGAAACCUCAAAAGCAGUUAUGUUUAUUUUUGCUAUUGUCACAUUGUUAGAGUCAGAAUUCUUUUAGCUGCAAGUGACAAAACCAACUCAAACUGGCUUAAGGACUUUAUUGGUUGAUGCAAAAAGCCUCGGGUUAGGUCUUGCCAUUUAAGGUAGGGCUGGAUCCAUCAAUCCGGGUUACCAGGAUCUGUUUUCUAGUUGUGGCUUCAUUUUCAGACAAGUUGUUUCCAUAUGAUAGCCUCAUAGAAGGUACUACCAGCUUAGUCCUAGCAAGAAAAAAGAGUACUUACUCUUCAAUAUUUGCAGCAGAAGUCCCAGGUCUGUUCUUAUGAGGGCAGUUUGAGUCACUUGCUCUUCUCUGAACGUGGAGAAGGCACUGUUUAGAUGAUGGAGGUUGGAUUCAGGUGCAUCCCCUGGAAUGGGGUUUGGCAUUAGCUUCACGUGGUCUAGAAUAAAGGGGUUCUCCAAAGGAAAAUUAGGGUAGGAAUGCUGAGUAAGCAGAACAAACAGAUGUCUACUUUAGUCCUUCCCAAAGGGUGAGCUGCAAUACAUUGCAGACUAUCAGAAUGGUGAUGAACACGGAUGCAGUAGCCAAGAAAAUAGAUGUGUGUUUGUCGUGGUCUUUUUCAGUCUUCAAGAUCUCAGUUAAACAUGAAGUCAACCACUCACUAUGAUGUUAUUUGAGGUUUAGCUUUGAAGUGGAAAUGUACCACAAAUAGUAGAGCCAGAUAAAUACAAAUAAAUAAUUUUAACAGUCCAUUCUAAAAGAUUUCUUUGGUAAUAUUCUGUUGGAAUUGAUUUCUAUCUUUUCAUUUGUUAGGUUCCUGGAAAGUGAAAAUUUCAUUUCUUUGUGGACAGGUACCUAAAAUGUCUCAUUAUUCAUCAAUUAAUGAAAAACAAAUGAAAAUUUGAGAGAGAUAUUCUGAAGAAUAAAAGGAUCAAGUUGGGUCAUUUCUAAAAUCUCAGAGACCUAAUAGGAUGGGGUCUUAGAGAAACAUCUUUUGAGCCACAGACUUCUUUGUUACCAGAAGGAAAAUGAAAGAAGAAAUUUAAAUACCACUUGAAGAGAGUUUCCUCAUCAGCAAAGUCAGAAAAAGUAUGUACCUGAAGGACUGAUUGUAAGGCUGGGAUGAGAGAAUCCAUGUGAUCAGCCCUCACCAACAGGUGCUGCCCAGUUCAUGAGUGCUGCUGCUGUCCUGCCCAAGUACCCAGCUUGCAGAGUGCCAGAGUUAGAGUCCCAGGGGUGUUCUCCACAGCUGCAUGCUUGAUCCAGGCCUAUCAGAUAUAUUCCAUUGAAAGUCCUCAUUCUCAAAUUUAAAACAAAGACUUUUUGUGUACCUCAAUAGCAAUGCACACACAGUUGGCUUCACAAACAUAUUGUACAUUUCUUUUUUUCAUAUUUAUUCAACAAAUGUAUAUUGACUACCCACCGUGUGACAGGUGUUAUUUGUUGACGGAACCAGGCAUCAUCAGCAAACAAAACUGACAAAGCUUCCUGCCCUCUGUGGAAGGCAUCUGAGGAAGAGACUGGAUUUUGUAGCAACAUGUUAUUCUCAUUAUAAACUUUAUCAUUGGAAUACUAAAGCCAAAUCAUCCCCCAUCUCCUUGAUCAGGAUACCCACUUAAUCUAGGCAGCUACACAAUUGUGAGAGCCUUUGUUUUUUUCUGCUGAAACAUCCUUAAAAAGAUACCUCACAACCCAAGAUUUGGCUUUUCUUAAAUACGAUUUUUAAUUUUUUUCAUUUCUAUCUAGAGAUUUAAUUGGAAAUGGAAAAUCAUCAAUUUUCCAAUUAAAUGUCUGUUCCAAUCAACAUUAUACCUUUUAGGUUGUCAUUGUCAUUUUUAAGUUUAAGCAACUUUAAGGAUUUUGAAUCUGGCUGCCUGUAAAUUAAAGGUGAAAGUAAUCA